AUUGAACGCUGGCGGCAUGCUUUACACAUGCAAGUCGAACGGUAACAGGCCGCAAGGUGCUGACGAGUGGCGAACGGGUGAGUAAUGCAUCGGAACGUGCCCAGUCGUGGGGGAUAACGCAGCGAAAGCUGCGCUAAUACCGCAUACGAUCUAUGGAUGAAAGCGGGGGACCGUAAGGCCUCGCGCGAUUGGAGCGGCCGAUGUCAGAUUAGGUAGUUGGUGGGGUAAAGGCUCACCAAGCCGACGAUCUGUAGCUGGUCUGAGAGGACGACCAGCCACACUGGGACUGAGACACGGCCCAGACUCCUACGGGAGGCAGCAGUGGGGAAUUUUGGACAAUGGGGGCAACCCUGAUCCAGCAAUGCCGCGUGCAGGAAGAAGGCCUUCGGGUUGUAAACUGCUUUUGUACGGAACGAAACGGCUCUGGUUAAUACCUGGGGCUAAUGACGGUACCGUAAGAAUAAGCACCGGCUAACUACGUGCCAGCCGCCGCCGUAAAAC
rnacentral:rRNA from 1 species